rnacentral:lncRNA from 1 species
UCAUUGCUUCAAAUAAAAAUACCUUUCUUUUAUUUAAUUUUGGAAAUUUGCACCAAGUUCAAAGUCUCCUUUAACAAAUGACAUUUGGCUUUAUCAAUGAGUAAGAACUCUUUAAAAAAGUAAGACUUUAAGAGAAAAAAACCAUAGACCAUAUCAAAUGAAGGGUACAGGCAAAGAGGUGUUAUGUCAGUUUUUACAGAAAAUGAGAUUUUGGCGCCAUAUGAUAGCCAGCAAGCUAAACUACUAUUCUAUAAAUCAAUCACGACUAAGAACGUGCUUAGUCAGGUAUAACAACAUAUUUUAAUAUCUCUAGUCAGGCUAAAACGUGGUAAGUCCGCGCGGUCCCGGCGAAAAAAGUGCUAUGUCAAGUUUUACUCGUGGUCUGAUGCAAUCGAAUUAAUACCGGCAUGUUUAGUAAACAAACGGCUUUUAUUCAGUGCACAUGUGUUUAUUAAAAACUUUACGUUAUGGAGGUAAUUGACGGUGAAAUCGGUGAUAAUGACAUUCCGACUAAAGAAACAAAUAGUAAAAAAAGAAAGAAAUAUGGAAAAUUAAGUGCCGUAAAUAAGUUAAUAAAUUUGAGGAGCCAUACUAUAGGUGAAGACUGUAGGCGUAAAAGAUUAAAAUGUUUUGAGCGUGUACCAGAAGAGUCUCGUAAAAAAAUCAUUAAGAGUUUUAACCUACUUAACUCAGUUGAUAAGCAAAAUAUAUAUUUGUGUGGUCUGAUUACAACGUUGCCUAUCAAACAACGAAGGCCCAGACAAGAACAACAAGAUGCUUUUCUUCACGAUGCUUCUUUCCGAUACCGUGCGUAAGAAGUGUAAAUAAUAUGCAGGGACAUGCUGAAGAUGUUGAAAUAUGUAAAAAGGGAUUUAUGUCUAUACAUGGAAUAGGUCGAAGAAAGUUAGCAGUAUUGCAGCAGUCAUUGAAGCUAACAGGAGAUGCACCAAAAGAUCGUAGAGGUAAGCACACUAAUCGCCCGCACAAGCUCUCUGUUGAAACACGAAAUACGAUAAAGAGUCAUAUUGGAUCGUUUAGAGGUCGUAAAAGUCAUUACAGCUUGCAUGAUUGGGCUAAAUUAUAUCUACCAGAAGAACUUAAUAUCAAAAAAAUGUUUAAUAUGUUCUGUGAAAAGUUUCCAAAUGAACAUGUGUCGCAUGAAACUUAUAGGACCAUUUUUUCAACAUAUGCGUUCAACAUAUCCUUUGGAUACCCUAGAUGUGACACAUGGAGUCAAUGCGAUGAAUAUUUAGCCAAGAUUAAAAGUCUAGAAGCUGAAAGACUUAAUUUAUCGCAAACAGAAAAUGUGACUUACCGUACAUUAGAGGCAGAUAUAAACCAAUUAAACAUACAGAAUAGGCUACACAAAACGAAAGCAGAACAAUUUUACAAAACACGUAGCCAGAAUUUGGUCUCCAUGGAAGCAAUCUGCAUCGAUUUUGCAAAAAACUUCCCGGUUCCGAAUAUUAGUACGAAUGACGUAUAUUAUAAGCGGCAGUUGUCCACGUAUGCAUUCAAUAUCCAUGUUCUUUCUACAUCACAAAGCAUAUUUUACAUGUACCCUGAAACAGUUGAAAAAAAAGGCAGUGAUGAUUUUGUGUGAGAUGACUUUGCUACAUAAUUUUCUACAUAAUUAUCUUAAUCCUGAAGUUCGUGAACUACAAAUAUUUUGUGACUCUGCGAGGGCAGAUCAAGGAUUAUACUAUGUUUCGACAUUUGCACUAUGUAGUACAUGUAGAAAAAAAGCUGGAUUUGAUUAAGGUUACCUAUCCAAUAAGGGGUCAUUCGAACACGGAGUGCGAUAAGGACUUUGGAUUAAUAAACCAAAAAACACGAGUGGAACUCCCAGAACAAUGGCAAGAAGUAUUCCGCAUGGUAAGAAAGAAACCAUCUCCUUUUCAAGUGGUAAACGUUAACCAAACGUACUUCAGAUACUGGACAACAUUCUUUAAAGAACGUUAUAGAAGAACAUGUCUGUUUCUUUCCAGGCCUAUUAGGGAAAUGAAAAUAGAAAAGGAAAAUCCAAGGAUGAACUUCACCGAGAUAGCUACAAUGGUUCUUGGGAAACUACUGCUAUCACUGAUCCCAAAUGUAAAACUAAAAUAAAGUUAGAAGCCAACGAAUUUGAACUGCCAGAUCACUUAUAUAAAGAGCCUAUACCCAUAAGUAAGGAAAAAUGGAAAAAUCUCCAAGAGCUAAAGAUAUUUUGUGGCUCAGCUGCUCAAGACUACUAUAACCAUCUGCCUCAUUCAUAGAAGAAAAACGGACAACGUUAACUUUAAGCGUUUUGAUUACUACGGAUAAAUAAAACACUCAGCAUCUGAAGAACCUUGCCAGAUCGCCUUUUAAAAAAUAAAACGGUUAUACUUUUUGUUCAUAUAGAUUUUAAGUUUUACUAUUACAAUAUCAAGUUUAGUGUAGUGUGUGUUAUAGUAGUAUAGUGUAGUUGCUUGACAAAACACCUUCUUUCUCUUUAAUAAUUGCAAUUUUU